GGGAGGGGGAGGGUCAUUGCAUGAUUAGUGUCUUCCCACCUUGGUUUUUGACAACCUACAAAGUUUUUUUUUUAAUUUUAGGUCAUUCAGUAUCUGACAGAAAAGUCAUUUUCCUAGUGUGUUUCUUUUGAAAAAAAUUUUUCCUAUCGCACUAAUUUUGUCGUGUGUCAUAAAACAUGCCAAAAGAACUAGGUCCCUCAUUAUCAGGGGUAAAACAGAUUUAACAAUAGAAUGCUUGCAGUAGAAAUGACAUUUGCUGAUUAUUAUUCAUUUUGAGGUUAUUUAUGGGCCAUUACCAAGCGUUGCAAAAUGGUUAUGGUUUUUUUUUUUUUUUUUUUCGAGUGGUUUUCCACAAAAGUCACAUUCUAUAUCAACCAAGUGCUCAGAACAUGUACAUUGUGCAGAGAAAUAUUAGACGAACAUAUUAUGCAACAUUACAGACAGAUAAUAAUAAACUUGCAAGAAACUAAGAUUUGGUGCAUGUUUAUCUUCAUCAUCUUCAUAUUUAAUAUAAAGGUGUUCGUAGUAAAACUAUUGCAUAUACUACUUCUGAUGGAACAUUGCAUUUGUAAUAAACUGAGAUAGUUUUAUCAGAGUAAUUUUUGUUGUAAGCGACUAAAAAAAACAUUGAAAUGGCCUUCCUAGACAUGAAAUUUUCUACCACGUUUUGUCGACUCCAGAAGGCCUCUCUGUUGCACAGACGGAGAACAUGGACAUGAGUUGUUGGUCUGGUAGAGGGGAACAUAAGCUGACGGUUCACCCCAGGUGUAGCCACGAGUCACCUUAGUUGAGCAGGACAUUUACUUGUACAUUGUGUCAUGUCAGCCUGCCUGGUGUCAUCACGUGACAGUGGGAAGCCAAGAUCACCAUUGUGUAUGCUGUGUGACUGCCUCCUCUGAAUGAGUUAUAAUUUAAAUAAUGACAUACCAUAUUUAAUCUAAUGCACACCUAAUUUUCUCAGAUUGAAAAUAAAAAUAGCACCUGAAUUUACUGUUGCCAAAUAAAAAUUGACAGUUAGGAGAAAGAGACAAGCACAAGUCGCCUUUAUAGAACGGGAAAUGUAUUCUCCUGGCAGUUUCUUUUCUUUUGCAGUCUAGUUUUGCUGGCUUUAAGAUCACUUUGGAUACACCUCGAUCGCUUGCCAAAAGAAGGGCCGUUACCUUGACAAGCUUGUUCUACAUGCAGUUACUUAAAGAGGUCUGCAAGGUGGUGUUCCGAGGUCAGAAUAUUUUUCUGUUUUCGACCCGUAAAAACUUUUCCUGGUCAACAAGCAGCUGAAGAUCUCCCUUUGUUUGCGCUACUUAUAGUCAUAAGCCUCGGGCACGCAGAAAGACUUGAUGCAGGUAUCUUCAGCAUGCAAAAUAAGUUUCCUUUGACGUGAGCUUUCAUAAUGAAAGUGUGCAUCCUCAUUUGCACCAUGUGGAGCAGCUAUGACACACACAGGUCCCAGUCAUGCACGAAAUAAAUCAGCGCGAACUCUUGACAAAAUGUACUCUGUCGCUGUUUCGUCAUGCCAGUGACAUUGCAUUUGACCCCUCUGAUGGGAGGCUUUUGCCAAUGCCGCGAAUGUGGUUUCAGUUUUGCAUUUUAUUCUAACUCGCAGGAAAUUAUGGGCUAGUUUUACCAAAAAAAAAAAAAGAUUCCCCUAAAAUCAAGUAAAAACGGUAUAUAGAUAAAUAUUAGUGUUUUGCAUGGCUGUAAUAUAUUAUAGGUGUACCUCCAUGUUAAAUAUAUGGCUGAAUGUACACCAUAUCUUGAGUUUCCUGAAAGCUUAUUAUAUGUGUCCGUUGCAUAAUAUAGGAAGUACAGUAAAACAUUAAUUCAGUCACUGGGACUGUGAAAAAUUUUCGAAUUAAGCAGGUUUUUGAAUUAACGAAACAUACAAAAAGCAGGAUGCAAGGAACUAAUCAGAGGUGGUCGUUUGCUGUGCUUGCUAGUUUGCGGCUCCAAGGGUUAUGCUUUCCAGCAAUACCCGGUCCCACUUUUGCCGCAAACCAGGGGAAACGGUGGGCCUUGCUGCUGUCAACGCAAAAAAAGAGAGAAAAAGAAAACAGUCUCGUGGUCAGCUGAAAUGCGUGCCCGCGGAAAAGAAGGCGUGCUUCGCUGCAACACAGCGGUGACACGCGGGCAACAUGUCACUUGCUCCUCACAGCGUCAGCGCAUCAUGAUGCGACCAUUCGCCCAUUCUUUCUGGUAAAAUAAAGAAUUUAAUAAUGACCAUUGUGACGGAAUUCGCGAUGUGUUCUGACUGGAAAACAUGAUCGUUGAAGUUUUCGAAGUAGGCGUUGCAGGCAAUAAAUGCUGCGAGCAGUGCAAGCGCGCAAAUUGCCGGAGCAAUCGCCAAUCGGAUGUUUGUAUACAUCGUGAGUUCUGUCAGACCGUCCUUCAUUAUUUUUUUCUUUUCCCGAAAAGGAUGGGUAAACCAUGACGCUGAUGUAGUGUGAAGUAUGUGGCAUGCUGCCCGGGUGUUAUCACUGUGUUGUAGUGAAUCACGUCUUUUCCGCACGCACACGUUUCAGCUGACCACAAGACUGCUUUUUAUUUUAUUUUUUUUCCUUUUUUCAUUUUUGCACUGGCAGUAGCGAGGCUGUGGGGCUUCACCUGUCACUCAUUAGUAUAUCGCUACGCUGCAUUGCCUUGUGGCUCCUAAGGGCCGUCGUUUCUGCGGGCUUGCGGUGAAAUCUGGAUCGGUAAUUGGCACAUGGCACCCAAAGUGUUCGAAUUAACCUGGCUGGUGCUGACCGCCGCUUCAAAUUAUCCGCUCAAAUUUAUAUUGCAAAAUACGGGACCUAAUAAGCCCUUUGAAUUAAGCGAGAUUUCGAAAUAAGAGUUCACAUUAAUGAGGUUUUAUGGUAUGCGACAACUAUAAGGGUAGGGGAGCGGUGAACUGUGGCUGCAGUGCUAUUAAUGGACAUGCAGGCCUCCCCAGUGCACGGCAUGUGUUAGCAUGUCUGUGUUCCUGGGUCAGUCUGUGUUCAGUGUCACAACAGCUGCAGGAUAAGCCAACUUUCACAUUGAAGAGCUCUUCAGAGAUUCAAAACACUACUACGGGACAAAACCGGGGAAAUGGCCAUAUUUUUCAUGUGCAAGAGAGAUGAGAGAACCAACCAUAAAACUCUCUGAAGGAAAGGUGACUGCGAUGUACGAAUGUGAACAGAAGUGCUUGCAUUAUUUUCCUAACUGGAUCUUUUUUUGCCAUCUACAUGAAGAACUUGGAUGAAUAUUUGGAUUCAUGCUCCCAUGAACAGCUUAUUUCGUUACACAGAUGUGCAGACAGCUGUCAUAUGAAACAUGCAGUUUUACUGCUCAUAUGAACAUUUAUAUACCACAUCCAUGAACUUGAAGGAAAGAAGUGGAAAUCCUAAGGGCUCCUUUUUCUUUGUUAUACACAAUAUUAAUGAGCACUAACAGACAAAUUGUCUGUUAGUGCUCAUUAAUAUCCAUGAACUUGAGCACACAUCAGAAAUGCCAUUUCAUGUUAGUAAUUCAUCAUCAUCAGUAUAUCUUAUAUCCACUGCAGGACGAAGGAUCACGUGUUAAUUAUGCAGGAAUACUUGAGAUCGUGAAAAAAAGAAUAUGUACGUGUAUGUAUUGACUGAAUUGUUUGCCUGCAUUUGGCCCAUGGUUCUCAGGAGCUUGACUUGAGCCCUCACCCCUUGCCUACUAGAGGCAUGCUAUUCAUGGUUAGGGAUCUCAUGGUUACAGACCAUGAAGUCUCUAAACACUUCAGAAUCGCUCUUGUGCCGUGCUGUUACCUGGUAUUCCGGCCCUAAAUGACAGAAAAUUUUUAAUUGCGGGAUAGAAUACUACAUUUUAAGUGUUUAUUUAUUGGAAAUCUUAACUAAUAAUGAAAAAGGAAGCAUUUAAGGUACUCGAAAAGUGAAGCUGAACAGAGGUGAAUAAAUGCGCAAUUGAUGCAAAAGGUGGGCAGAACUUGUUCUGUUGCACUAAGCAUUAUCACACAGUCUGUGAAUUCAUGGACUGCGCAAUAUACUGCAUAAAGCAUGGGAUUACACAAAUUGCUUUUUUGCAAGUUGUGUACCAUGUCCUUCUACCAUUGCCUUGCCAUGUCGAAGUUUGAGACAUCACUGUCAUUGUCGACUUCAUACUCGGGCGACUAGCUGAGUGUAUCCACAGCACCAAUUUCUUCUUCUCUGACCAGUUGUGCACAUCAUCUUCGGAGUCGACUUGAUUCGUUGCUGAAAUUGCUGAAACCCCAACAAUUAUUAUUCUCCACGCAAAUCGAACGUGCUGCUGUUUUUGCAGCCCAGUGGAAUGUGUGCUGCCAUCAACCAGAAGCAUGGCAAAGCAUCGAGACCAAGGCACGUUCAGUGCGAAAAAAGGAAAAGUAGAGUUGGCAAGCUGAGCUCGUUUUUAGCAGUUUUUACUAGAAAUGCGUGGACAAGCUGAGCUCAUUCAUGGCGCUGAAAGGGUUAAGGCCCUUAAGACUAAACCCUCGGCCCACAACUUCUCCACAAAAUGUCAAGAGGUAAAUUGGUGAUUGAUUACUCCAGACGUGUUUGUCAAUCCCAUAUACAUGUCUCACCCCUCCCCUGGGGUAUGUAGCGGCAAAUAGCAGUGGAGGCCGUGCUCCUCAGUCCUGACCCUGGCUCCCGAAUCGGGAUUUUCGGCUGGGCAGAAGAAGCGUGUGGGGCUCAGUGGCUCUUCUAGUUCAGACGUUCUUGCAGUGACUACUUUCCCAGUCGAGUCUCCUAUGGCCAGGAAUCUUUGGGUCAACAUCUUGUUCACCCAGCCUCCUUUGAGAUGCAUCUCAAUAAAGUUUUUCUGCCACCAUCA